AGAGUUUGAUCCUGGCUCAGGAUGAACGCUGGCGGCGUGCCUAACACAUGCAAGUCGAACGGGGACAGACGGAAACCUAGUGAAGUCUGUCCGAGUGGCGGACGGGUGAGUAACGCGUGGAUAACCUGCCGCAUGCAGGGGGAUACCGGCUGGAAACAGCCGCUAAUACCGCAUAAGCGCACGGUGCCGCAUGGCAGAGUGCGAAAAGGAGAAAUCCGGCAAGCGAUGGAUCCGCGUCCGAUUAGCCAGUUGGCGGGGUAAGGGCCCACCAAAGCGACGAUCGGUAGCCGGCCUGAGAGGGCGGACGGCCACAUUGGGACUGAGACACGGCCCAGACUCCUACGGGAGGCAGCAGUGGGGGAUAUUGCACAAUGGGGGAAACCCUGAUGCAGCGACGCCGCGUGGGUGAAGAAGUAUUUCGGUAUGUAAAGCCCUAUCAGCAGGGAAGAAAGAAGACGGUACCUGACUAAGAAGCCCCGGCUAACUACGCG
rnacentral:rRNA from 1 species